ACACACAUAUGGGGGGGAGGGAAUCAUUUCCCCUGCAAAAUGUCGAUAUAUUCUCAUUGAUUUCCAGGGGGGCGAGGUCUACACGCGCACAUUCCAGGCUGUAAAAUGAAGUCGCGCUUACCAGGGAAAAGUUCAGCCCCACUGGACACAGUGGGGGGUUAUUCCUCACAGCCAAAUAAAUAUGCCGCCUGGGCGCUCCCUCCCCCGCCAGUUUCAAGGAAUGUGCUUAAACAUGGCUGGAUCCGCGCGUCCUCUACUUGCCGGAAGCGGAGCGAAAACAGGAGCCAGUCCGGAUCAAAGGGAGACUGGAGACGAGCUCCAGAAAACGGGGACGCGGAGACUUGGAGCCCAGAGGUUUCAAUCAUGGUGAAAAUCAGCCAAGGGCGCAGCACCAGCGCUCCCGCCGCCGCCUCCUCCUCCUCCUGCGCCGCUAAUGUACAUCCUGGAUGCUGAAGUCUGUCUAAGCUAAAAAGAAUUUCCUUUUUGGAGGAGAAAGCCUCCAGCUCCUUCUGUUCAGAGGAAAGUGCCAGUGAUGUAAAUGCGGGGUGACACUAAAUAAACAGGCUCUGAAAAGAAUUCCAAACCCUUGGCAUAAUAAGUGGAUUGUACGGAUCUUUUCUACUUUCCUCAAGCACAAUUUGCACAACAAGAAAAGAGGAGAGCCGCUCUCGGUAACAUAAACCUCUCGGAUUGGAAAAGGAAGAGGAAGAAUAAGGAGGAAUAAGCUAAGAGGCGGAGAGCGCGAGACGCGAAAGAACAAUCGCCGGGUGCCCCUCUUUCCGGGUCAUUACGGUACUGCUGGUCUCCAAUCAAUCCUAAUGCGAUGGCAAUUGGAGUCCCCGAUGAACGCAUCUCAGGUUUCGUGUAAUGGCUCUACCACAUUUUCCUGGACCCCCUUCUUUAACCUGAGAUGCCAGGGGGACGAGUCUCUUUUCAGCUGCUGAUUGCUUCAAGAUGUGGGGACUUGGGGGGGGGAGGGGAGCGAGAAAGUCUUGGGAUAGCCAGAAACUGUUUGUUGUUAGUCUAAGCUGUUUAUUUAAUCAACAGAACAAAGCAGAUUUUUCUCUCUUCUUCCAUUUCUUUCUGCAACGCUCCCUCCAUCUGUUCGGGAUUCGGAAUUCCGCCUCCCACGUGAGCCAAGUUUCCAGUUUUGUAAUACUGAGCUGCUGUCUCUGUUUACUAACAAACAGAUCACUUGGAAAGGACUAAGGGUUUAUUCUAGCCAGAACCUACAAAGGCUGAUUAUGAUUAUGAUUAUGAUAUUUACAAACCACUUAAGGUCAAAACAGACUUCUAAAUGGUUUGCGAAUUUUAUUUUAUUUUAAACCAGUUCAUACAAACCUUAGAAUGGAAUCUGCAAUAGAAUAAUCCCAUUAUUUGACCCCAGAAAACUGUGAAGGUCUUUUAUGUGCAGAGUGCCAAUGACAGCAGUAGCCCAAGACGUUUCUGCACCUGAAACCAAGCGUCACAAUGAUUUCUUAAUAUUUCUUAUUUAUUUGUUAGAUGUAUAUCCACCCCCAUCCUUGGAUCAAGUUACAACAGAAGUUUUUAUUUAUUUUUGUUCUCUUACAUAUAUAAAAAGGAGUGUUCAUAUCCCACACUUUCAUUGUAAAAACCAUGCAUUGGGGACUCACAUCAGGUAUUUU